rnacentral:RNase_P_RNA from 1 species
CUUUAUGUUGAGGAGGAAAGUCCGGACAGCACAGAGCAUUGCACCGGUGAAGAGCCGGGUUCCGAUUCAUCGGAAACAGAUAGUGCCACAGAAAAUAACCUCACCCCCAACCCCCUCUCCACAAAAUGGAGAGGGGGAGAAGGGAAAGUGAAAGGGUGAAAAUGUGAGGUAAAAGCUCACAGCUUUUGUUGGUAACAACAUUUGCGGGUAAACCUUGCAAGCUGAAAUGCCACGUAUAGUAUCGUUUGAGGGCUGCUCGUCCGAUGAUACAGGGUAGGCAGAUUGAUCCCCGUGGGUAACCAUCGGGACAGAUAAAUGAUAGGCUUUUCCACCGAAGCAUUAGCGUAGGUGGAUGGAAACAGAAUCCGGCUUACGGGUUUGUAGCGAUU